AGUGAACGCUGGCGGCAGGCCUAACACAUGCAAGUCGAGCGGCAGCGGGUCCUUCGGGAUGCCGGCGAGCGGCGGACGGGUGAGGAAUACAUCGGAAUCUGCCCUGUCGUGGGGGAUAACCUAGGGAAACUUAGGCUAAUACCGCAUACGACCUACGGGUGAAAGCGGGGGAUCGCAAGACCUCGCGCGUCAGGAUGACCCGAUGUCCGAUUAGCUCGUUGGCGGGGCAAAGGCCCACCAAGGCGACGAGCGGUAGCUGGUCUGAGAGGAUGAUCCGCCACACUGGGACUGAGACACGGCCCAGACUCCUACGGGAGGAAGCAGUGGGGAAUAUUGGACAAUGGGCGAAAGCCUGAUCCAGCCAUGCCGCGGGGGUGAAGAAGGCCUUCGGGUUGUAAAGCCCUUUUGUACGGGAAGAAAUCGUCUGGGCUAAUACCCCGGGCGGAUGACGGUACCGGAAGAAUAAGCACCGGCAAACUUCGU
rnacentral:rRNA from 1 species